rnacentral:rRNA from 1 species
GUGUCAGCCGCCGCGGUAAUACGUAGGUGGCAAGCGUUGUCCGGAAUUAUUGGGCGUAAAGGGCUCGCAGGCGGUUCCUUAAGUCUGAUGUGAAAGCCCCCGGCUCAACCGGGGAGGGUCAUUGGAAACUGGGGAACUUGAGUGCAGAAGAGGAGAGUGGAAUUCCAUGUGUAGCGGUGAAAUGCGUAGAGAUAUGGAGGAACACCAGUGGCGAAGGCGGCUUCCUGGUCUGUAACUGACACUGAGGCGCGAAAGCGUGGGUAGCAAACAGGAUUAGAAACCCCCGUAGUC